GCUGCUGCCUCCCUCAUUCUCCUUCAAGAUCUGGAGACAGACAUCUCACCGGCAGCUCACCGGCAGGAGUAGAAACAACUGGCAGGAGAAACAUACUUGGCUGAGCACCAUGGCCUUAAUAUGGAUGAUCUCACUUUGGGAGAUGAUAACUGCCUGUUGUCCAUGCAGAAGAUACCGGUCUGCACAGAGAAGGAAUGCCCACUUGCUUCGCCAUACCAGGCUUGAGGAACAAGAACUGCCUCCAACCAAGCCAGUGGGUUAUAUGAUCACUCUGAUGGCAGUUUGUACAAAGAACUGUCUCCCAGAGAUAAAGACAAAGACCGCCAGAUAAAAGUCCUCGAGCUCCUAAACAAACAAUUAAUCGAGGAGAACAACUUGUUAGCGGCAGAAAAUACCUUAUUGAAGAUCAAGGUUGAAAAGCUUAAAGGCACGCUACCGAAGGUCAUAGAGCUGUUCUAGGCCCCUGUCUAACUCCGCCGCUGUACGGACAAGCACCCAGUAGCUGACCAGUAAACAUGGAUCCUUAUCUUUAUGCACUCACCUAUUAGAGCAGGGGGGAAUAUGCACUGAGAGGUUUCUGUAGUCUUCUAAUCGAAAAGGAGUGACCUUUCUUUUUUGAAGUCUGCAGAAAUCUCUCAGUGUGUAUUUCCCACCUUUCCUCACCUUCUCUAAUAGGUAAGUACAUAAAAACAAUGAUUCAUGUCCACCAUCUACUGGUUUCAGCGUACUGUGGUAACUUGUUAUUAAUCUUUAACAUCAAUAAAGAACCAGUACAAAAUCA